UACGUAGGGUGCAAGCGUUAAUCGGAAUUACUGGGCGUAAAGGGUGCGCAGGCGGCUUGAUAAGUCAGCGGUGAAAUCCCCGGGCUCAACCUGGGAAUGGCCGAUGAUACUGUGAAGCUAGAGUGUGUCAGAGGGGGGUCGAAUUCCACGUGUAGCAGUGAAAUGCGUAGAGAUGUGGAGGAAGACCGAAGGCGAAGGCAGCCCCCUGGGAUAACACUGACGCUCAGGCACGAAAGCGUGGGGAGCAAACAGG
rnacentral:rRNA from 1 species